AUCAAACCAUAGAUACCCAAGACACCAGCCAUAACAACAGGGACAAUAGACUGCAUGACCAACUCAGGUCUCAUGACACCCAUAGAUGCCACACCCACACCACUCUUGGCAGUCCCAUAUGCAGCUCCCAUGCCUAAAAAGACGAGGGCUGCGGCAGCGCCGAUGAAGCCGAAGAAACGAGCGGACUCAUCGCCACUAAACGUAGACAUUUCCAACGAUUCUCGAUCUUAAGAUGACGCCGAUGAAUCUGACUGAAUUAUGAUGGAGUUCAGAGGGUGAAUGAUUGAGGAAGGAAAGAGAGACAUUCAUUGCAGUCGAAUAAGAAGUUGCCACGUAUGGGUUCUUACCAUCUCUUAAAAUCCCAAAUUAAAGAUUGGUUCUCUGCUUUUUUUUCAUUUAUUUUUUGCCUUUAUUUGUUUGGAACCUCUUCUAAGCACUCCCGAUGGAGUUGGUCUAAACAUGUAUCGAUGGAUUUGGGUUUGAUUUGAGCUGCUUUGUACUUCCCUGUUUUGGGUUUUUCCAUUUUCAAUGAAAUGGGUUGUCAGAAAAAAGAACUAA